AUAAAUUUCUCUUUAAUUUAUCUUCUCUCUUUCUUCCUAACCAUCUAUAAAAAGUGAUGGAUGGUUAGAAAGGUAGGAACACAAGGGCUGCUGUACUCCUAAUAACACAGUAGCCCUACUAUAUAUAUAUAUGUGUGUGUGUGUAGAGCUAGUAUGCUAUCAAAAGUAUAGACGAUUUGAUACAUUCGACUUUUUGACCCUUGGAUCAAGAAUUGUACGGUUGGAAUGAUUGCGAUCCCCCCAAGGUUGAGUAGUAUCUCUAGGGUUGAGUGGUCUCCACAGAGUAAUAAUAUUAAUACAAAUGUUAGAAAUGAUCAAAACGAUUGAUUUAAGGGCAAAAAAGUCAGAAGUACCAGAUCCUCUAUACUUCCGAUAGCAUAGUAGCUUUGAGUAAGACUACUGUGCUAUUAGGAGUACAGUAAUUCUUGUGCUUCUAACUUCCUAACCAUCCAUCAAGUUUAAUGGAUGGUUAGGAUGAGAGAGAAAAGAGAAAUUGGAGAUAAAUUGAGUGUUUUAAUUUGUCUUCUUUUUGAAUUUCUCUCUAUUUUUUUUCUCUUUCUCAAACUAACCAUCCAUCAAAAUUAAUAGAUGAUUAAAAAGUUAGGAGCAUAAGGACUGCUGUGCUCCUAAUAGCACACUAGCCCUAUACCUACUAUGCUAUCAGAAUUAUAAAUGAUCUGGUGCUUCUGACUUUUUGACCCUUAAAUCAACCCUUUUAAUUAUUUCUAACAUUUAGAUUAAUACUAUAACCACGUGGGGACCACUUAGCCCUAGAGGUACUACUCAACCCUUGGAGGACCGCAAUUAUACUAACCAUAUAAUUUUUGAUCCAAGAAUUAAAAAGUCGAAAGCAUCAACUUCUGCAUACUUCUGAUAGCAUAGCAGCUCUCUCUCUCUCUCUCUCUCUCUCUCUCUCUCUCUCUCUCUAUAUAUAUAUAUAUAUANUAUAUAUAUAUAUAUAUAUAUAUAUAUAUAUAUAUAUAUAUAUAUAUAUAUAUAGAAAUACUACUAUACUCUUAUGAGUAUAGAACUCUUCAUACUCGUAAGCCGUUUUUGAUGAUAGAGAUUCUGAAUCGACGAUCCACUCAGUCCAACAUGAUCUAGAGUAUUUAAAAUUUCUAAAAAUAAAUUUUAUAAUUUUUUGAAGUUAUAAUAAAGUUUAUCAAGUAGGUAUAAAAUAAACGGUCAAAAUCGAACGAUAUCCUACAAAUAGAUGAUUGGAUUCUUCAACUUAAGAUCGUAGUUAUUGAUUUUUAUCUAGAUAGUGAAUAGAAUUUUUUAUCAAAAAUUCAACUGAUUUCGAUUUUUUAACACCGUUAAACUAGCAACUACCCUGCCCCGACCGUUAAAAAUUAUCAAUUCUCAGAUAUUUUUAUUGUAAGGUAAAUAAUGUCAAAAAAUUAUGAAAUUUAUUUUCUAGAAGUUUUAAAUACUCUACAUAACGUUUAACAGUAUGGAUCAUCAAUACGAAAGCUUUAUCAUCAAAAACAACUAAUGAAGGUGAUCAUACUCAUAAGAGUAUAGUAGCCGGACUCUCUCUCUCUCUCUCUCUAUAUAUAUAUAU
rnacentral:lncRNA from 1 species